rnacentral:tRNA from 2 species
GCCGGAAUAGCUCAGAUGGUAGAGCAACUGACUUGUAAUCAGUAGGUCACGGGUUCGACUCCUGUUUCCGGCACCA